GAUGAAGAACGCAGCGAAUUGCGAUAAGUAAUGUGAAUUGCAGAAUUCAGUGAAUCAUCGAAUCUUUGAACGCACCUUGCACCCUUUGGCAUUCUGAAGGGUAUGCUCGUUUGAGUGUCAUUGUACUCUCACACUCCCGAUCUUUGCAUUGGGAGCAGUGGACUUGGGUUUGCUGCUUCACCGUCGCUUACCUCAAAUAGGUUAGUGCAACUCUUGGUUGGACAUAGUACGGCGUGAUAAGUGUUCUUCGCCGGUGCCUCGCAAAGAGGGUGGCCGAUCGGGAUGUUGUGCUCCAAACCGUCUUCGGACAAUCUCUGACGACUUGACCUCAAAUCGAGUAAGACUACCCGCUGAACUUAAGCAUAUCAAUAAGCGGAGGA
rnacentral:misc_RNA from 1 species